rnacentral:rRNA from 1 species
UACGUAGGGGGCGAGCGUUGUCCGGAAUCACUGGGCGUAAAGCGCGCGCAGGCGGUCAUCUACGUCUGGGGUGAAAGCCCGGAGCUCAACUCCGGGAUUGCCUUGGAUACGGGAUGACUUGAGGAUCGGAGAGGCAAGGGGAAUUCCACGUGUAGCGGUGAAAUGCGUAGAGAUGUGGAGGAACACCUGUGGCGAAGGCGCCUUGCUGGCCGAUUUCUGACGCUGAGGCGCGAAAGCGUGGGGAGCAAACAGG